CACGUAGGGCGCGAGCGUUGUCCGGAAUUAUUGGGCGUAAAGAGCUCGUAGGCGGCCUGUUGCGUCCGCUGUGAAAGCCCGGGGCUUAACCCCCGGGUCGGCAGUGGAUACGGGCAGGCUAGAGGUGAGGUAGGGGAGAAUGGAAUUCCCGGUGUAGCGGUGAAAUGCGCAGAUAUCGGGAGGAACACCGGUGGCGAAGGCGGUUCUCUGGGCCUUACCUGACGCUGAGGAGCGAAAGCGUGGGGAGCAAACAGG
rnacentral:rRNA from 1 species